rnacentral:ncRNA from 1 species
GACAUUUGGUUCAUGUGCUUGGCUGAUUAGCCAAUGGUGCGAAGCUACCAUCUGAGGGAUUAUGACUGAACGCCUCUAAGUCAGAAUCCCGCCUGGAAAGCGACGAUGCAUUCGUGCCUCGGCCUCGAGAGGCGUAGCUAGACGGCCGUGUGGCCGUGGAAAGAGCCCGAUUCCGACCCGAGAGGCCGCGGCAAGAGGCGGCCUCGAAGUCGGUGGAUCCUCCUGCUCGAAAGGCGGGGUGCUAAACCAUUCGCAGACGACCUAGUUGAAGAUCGGGGUGUCGUGAUCACUAGAGCAGUACAUCUCACUGCGAUUUGUUGAGAGUAAGCCUCAAGAUCUGUCGGUUUGU